AUGAUGCACACAAGCUACGAGCUAGGCCAUGGACCCCUGUCGGCUGACGACGUGACAGACCCGUCGGUCGACAUCCCGUGCGACGUCGAGUCCAAGCCGGAACCCCGACACCCGCCGCCUGACGUCAUCGAGGAGCCCAAGCCACCGCCUGUCAUACACCCACCAGCCGGAGAGCCACUGGUCAAGGAGCCACCACCUGUCGAGGAGCCUCCGGCACCGGUCAACCUGCUUGUGGAACCACCACAUGUGGACGAGCCACCCGCCGAAGAGCCAUUGAUGGACCCACCACCCACCCAGGAGCCUCUGGCGCCGGUCGAACCACUCGUGGAACCACCACCCAUCGAGGAGCCACCUGCCGAAGAGCCGCCGGUGGACCCACCACCCACCGUGGAGCCUCCGGCACCGGUCGACCCGUAUGUGGAACCGCCACCCAUGGACCCACCAUCGGCUGAGGAGCCAAGGCCUGCUGCAGAACCACCUGCCAAGGAUCCUCCGGCGCUGGUUGAGGAGCCACUUCACGUGGAACCGCCUCCAGUGCUGGAGCCACAUCCCGUGGACCGAACACCGGUCCAGGAGCCACCUAGUGCACCACCAGCAGAGGCGAAGCCAUCCGAGGGCAGCGACGAAUCGAGUAGUAGCGCUGGUGAGGACAACGGCGAGGAGGGCCGCCGCAAGGGCAAGCGACGUCGUGGCGGGAUAGGACAACGGAGGCGCACGCGGCGUGCGAGGUUCCCGUGGGGCAUGUUGGUUGCUCCUGCCGUGAUCCUGCUCACUGUCGCAGUGGCCGUGGCCAAGAGACGGCAGCAGCCGCAGCGCGGUGGUUGA
rnacentral:rRNA from 1 species